rnacentral:tRNA from 1 species
GCCGAAGUGGCGGAAUUGGUAGACGCCUUGGACUUAAAAUCCAAUGGGCUUCAUUGCCCGUGCCGGUUCGAUUCCGGCCUUCGGCA